rnacentral:rRNA from 1 species
UACGGAGGAUGCAAGCGUUAUCCGGAUUCAUUGGGUUUAAAGGGUGCGUAGGUGGGUUUGUAAGUCAGUGGUGAAAGUCUGUCGCUUAACGGUAGGAUUGCCAUUGAAACUGUUGGACUUGAAUAUGGAUGAGGUAGGCGGAAUGUGUAGUGUAGCGGUGAAAUGCAUAGAUAUUACACAGAACACCGAUUGCGAAGGCAGCUUACUAAUCCAUCAUUGACGCUGAGGCACGAAAGCGUGGGGAUCAAACAGGAUUA